GAAGGGGGCAAGGGGGCGGAGGGGCGAUCUUCCUAGUACUCCUCUGUCUGUUGAUCAACAGUUCUGGGUCCUGAACACGGCCUCCCUGGAACACAGUGGCUUGCAGGCCCCCUGGGGCAUAAAGUUUGAAUUGCUUGUCAAGCUCCUGGAGUCAGUAGGUCACGUUUUGCAAUUUCUGGAAUAACAGCUUUCAUCAAGCGUUAGUCACUGGAGCCUGCCAACUAAGGCUCCAGUCUUUAACUCUUGAGUUCCCUGAUCAACAAGAGAAGAAAGGCCAGGACCUUUGCAGCUCUGGAUUCCUUCCUUGGUGAAAGGGAAAAGCACGCUCUACGUGUCGGUGGAUGCGUAUCACGUAAGUGAAAAGGGCAAGGACUUUAGGAAAAGGCCUCUGACGAGGGUGGCCGGCAGGGAGAAAGGGAAUGCAGGCAAAACCCCUGUUUGAAUAGUGCUUCUGUCAUUUUUUUAAGCCAUAAAAACACACACGGUUUGCCUCCUUCCAGUCCUUUUUAUCAGUGGGUCCUGAAAAUGGUCAACUCCCCAACUUAUCAACGAGCCCCUACGAAUAGCUUCUAGAGCAAGGACUUCCUGCUUGCUCCCCUUCUUCAGGGUUUCCCCAACUGCGGGACCCCCAGGGGCAGAGUCCGCCAAUUGCUCCACAGUCACUGUGCCGCCCAAACCUGCCGUGGUCCGCGUUCCCCCAACUCCUGCAGCCGGGUUAUUGUGACCCCAAACAAUCGCUCCUGCUGUGUCUUCAAACUCAAGCGCAAAGCUACUCUCCCUCCAUAGUUCUACUCCGGAAAAUUCUGCCCCCAAAUUCUGUUCCCCAGCCCGAACAGCCACAGGCAACCGCAGUUGCCAAAUUCCAAACAUUCCCCUAGCAGGGUCUCCCAGCUUUCAUUCCUUCUUGCCUCACCACCCCGCCAGGGGCUGGGGGGGGGGGGGGCGGGGGUCCCGCAAGACUGCUCGGGCCCUGGCUGGUGUGAGUCCCCGCCUGUGAACCGAGGGUCGCGGGUUGAUCCCCAAUCAGGGCGCAUGCCAGGUUCCAGGUUGGGGCGUGCGAGAAGCAACGGAUUGAUGUAUCUCUCACACCUCGAUGUUUCUCUGCCUGUUACUCCCUCCCUUCCACUGUCUCUAAAAAUUAAAAAAACAAAAACAAAAACUGCUUGGUUACGCCCCUGCCAGUCAGCGAUUGUCUCACACCCCCGUGGCUGCCAAUCCACAGCAGCCAUGCAGUCCCACCUCCUCACCUGGAGGGGACAUUCCCCCGACUGGGCACAGCCCCAGGGGGGUGGGGCAAGACCAGAGUCAGCCCUCCAAAGCAGGGGAGACCGAGGCCCCCCAGCUUCCUACCCGCCCCUUUUCCUCCUACCCCAAACCCAGAGGUCCGGACUGCCAGCUCUUCCUUUCUCUCAGGAGUCUCCAUCCCCAGCCUCCCUUGGCCUCCGAACUUUUAGUGCCGGCCACCCUCCUACUCCCCUAAGGGCGGAGAAAAUACUGGAGGCCCUUGGGCUUCAUCUCCCGCGUUAUCUCCUAAUUAGAGCUUAAUUGACUCUCCCCUGCGAACCCUUUAACUGGGUCACUGGUGAAGCCAACCUGCACAACUCUUCCCUGGAGCCCCCAGCAAGAAGCUCCUGCUGCAAGCCCAGCUCCGCACCCCCAGUCAUGAAUAGUUCAAAACCGGUGCAGAAGGUGGCUUCGGAGGCCAGAAACACAGCGGCAGCGGCCACCUCGGCUGGAUUGCCCAUGCGGCCCAGAGGCUGGAAAGAGACCAGAGAAAGGGGAAGGGAGAAAAGGUGAGAAACAUCAACGUGUGAGAGAAACAUCUAUCAGUUGCCUCUCACAUGCCCCCAACCCAGGAGCUGGCCCACAACCCAGGUAUGUGCCUUGACUGGGAAUCAAACCGGCCACCUUUUGGUUUCCCGGACAAUGUCCAAGCCUCUGGGCCACACCAGCCAGGGCUGGGCCUUACUUCUCGGGAGACACUUGGUGCCUAACAACACGUCACAGGUUUUUUUUUUGUUUGUUUGUUUGUUUGUUUUUUAAAUAAUAUUUAUUUAUCUUUAGAAGGGAAGGAGAGAGGGAGAGAAAUAUCAAUGUAUGGUUGCCUUUCUGGUGUACCCUCUGCUGGGAACUGGUCCCUGCUGGGAACUGGCCUGCAACCCAGGCAUGUGCCCUGACUAGGAAUUGAACUGGCAACCCUUUGCUUCACAGGCCCGUGCUCAAUCCACUGAGCUACACCAGCCAGGGCACGUCACAGGUUUUUAUGCCUCAGGUCGGAGGCCCCUAGGGGGCCA